rnacentral:lncRNA from 1 species
AGAUCGUUUGCUACUUACCUUUACUGCCGAUUGAUCAUCACGUAGAGAAAACUGAGCAUAAUCCGCUUGCUUGUCUUCGCGGUUGACGUUUUAAAUGUGUCGCCGCAAUUAGUACCAGAACCCAUGCGUUGACGAAUCAACCGAUUAGAAUCGAGCAGCCCGUCAUUACACGCAUGACGGAUCGUGUUGUUGCCGUGCGAGGACGUUCCACGGGAACCCGCGUCGUAUAGCCGUCGUUGUUGCCGCUCCUGAUGUGUUCGCCGGCCGCGAUGCCGACCAAAAGGGUAUGCGCCUUACGCGCCGAGGUUGGGAGACGAGGCCAUGCUGCUACUUCGCACACGCCGUAUGCAGAGAUGCGCCGCAUCGCGCCGCUGAAGCGAUGCCGAGAACCGCGGUUGUGGCCUAAAUCUUGCCUCAUAAAGCGCCUCUGAUAUUCGUCCAUGCACAUGAAAAAUGCAACCAAUCACUACGUUAUAUUAUUAGUCCCUCGUUGCAUCACGGACUCACGGUAAGAACAAAAAGGAAAUCAAAUUAGUCUUCGUGGUAUAUUUCCCCUUUACAAAAGAAUGCACCCCUUCUCAAGCAAACACAUGGGCGGGUGAUCCGUCCAUAACCAUCUCUUAUCUUCUCAUUCAUUUGCAUAUCUUCUCCUGACUGUGAACAUACGUCCAGGCCGCCGCGUCGUUCGACAUUGCUUACACAAGAGCCAGUCUUCAUGGAUGGCCUUUCUCUCUCAAUGAAGAGCCAAGUGCUGAUAACGUCCUUAAAGUAGAAAGUAAAGAACGAGAGAGAUGAAUGAAAGAUGAU